UAUACCCGGUAAAAAACUGAAUCACCUUCGUCGUACUGAAAACCCGGAGUUAACCCUAAAAGUACCCGGAUACAGAUUAAAUCCUGCUUUGUAGUGCAGGCCUCUGGUAGCCUGCUACCACUCAAUCAAGAACCGCGACCUUUGAACAACAGCCCAUGUGCUUCCGGCCGUCCAGCUGCUAUCAAUCAAACACUGACUCAUCCGCUAAGAAGUAAUGAACAAGGGCGGAUGGAGACAAAACCCACCUGUAUCCUGGCAAAGACUAAAAGAUUCUUGCAGGGUGGUCAGGAGCCACGCUGAGCCUUGGAUCACACCGUUUGUACCCGGCAGAUAACCCUGACGAUGACCCCGGGCCCUGCCUCAAACCUCUGUGCCUUCGUCCAUCCUUUUGGCCUCGUCCUUCCUCCAGAACAUCACGCUCGCAAACACUCAACCCUCCGCUAGUUCCAUAUUUAAAGAGAGAGAAACUGCAGGAGUAAAAUUGUACUUAAUAAUACAAGUUAGAGUCAAAAAGGAAUAAAAUUCUGUAUUCAAGCCA